GAUGAACGCUGGCGGCGUGCUUAACACAUGCAAGUCGAACGAUGAAGCCCAGCUUGCUGGGUGGUUUAGUGGCGAACGGGUGAGUAACACGUGAGUAACCUGCCCUUGACUCUGGGAUAAGCGCUGGAAACGGCGCCUAAUACCGGAUACGAGCUUCCACCGCAUGGUGAGUUGAUGGAAAGAAUUUCGGUCAAGGAUGGUCUCGCGGCCUAUCAGGUAGUUGGUCAGGGAACGGCACACCAAGCCGACGCCGGGUAGCCGGCCUGAGAGGGAGACCGGCCACACUGGGCCUGCGACACGGCCCAGUCUCCUACGGGAGGCAGCAGUGGGGAAUAUUGCACAAUGGGCGCAAGCCUGAUGCAGCAACGCCGCGUGAGUGACGAAGGCCUUCGGGUCGUAAACCUCUUUUAGCAGGGAAGAAGCGAAAGUGACGGUACCUGCAGAAAAAGCACCGGCUAACUACGUG
rnacentral:rRNA from 1 species